GUCUACGGCCAUACCACCCUGAACACCCUGAUCUCGUCUGAUCUUGGAAGCUAAGCAGGGUCGGGCCUGGUUAGUACUUGGAUGGGAAGAACCUUUACACCUCACUCAAAAGACGACACAAUACAGACU
rnacentral:rRNA from 1 species